CUGUAUUAAAGGGUUUCAGCAUUAGGGACCUCUUUUCUAGAUUUUAGAUAAGAUUGUUGAUUAUCUAAACCAGUCGAUUAAGAUUAAACAAUUCAAUCCUAGAAACCAAUGAAGCCCACUUUAGCUUUCUCAGUGGCAAAUUUUUGAGGUCUUACAUGAUUGUCUCUGACAACAUCUUACUCUGGAAAUCCUAGAGCCUGUCAUCCUCCUGCCUCAGCCACGCAAGUACAUGUGCCACGACAUCCAUGUUAUAGUAAAUAUUAUUUUAGUUUUUAAAUCUCACUUAGACCAUAUAGUUCCCAAAUAAAAGACACAAAACCUUUUAUAUUUAUAGUAGGCCUUAAAGCACUAGAGCUGGGUAGUUAUCAGUGCUCUAUGCUAGUUUGUCUACUUUCUUGUUAGUAAUCCUGAGAUAUCACUUGCCACAUUCUGCCUGGGCCACUCCUACUCCAACAGGCCAGCCCUCUUGGCCAUGAGCUCACCAUCUACCUACCUCUAGGUGACUUUUCUUGUCUUUCUCCCCUCUUUCAUGGUCUCUUCCUCCAACCUCAAGCCUGGAAUCUGAAGCCUCACCUACCUUUCUUCUACCCAGCUCGUUGAGGACGCUGGCUGCCGAGGUUGCUGCUGCUGGUAGGGAGACUCUGCUUGUGGUUCACAGGAGACCCACCAUGUUUGAGCACUCAACUCCUCCUGUAUCUGUCUGACUCACCUUCUGCCUGAUUCUCCAAGGACACGGAUUGGGGCUGGACAUCACAGAGACCAAUAGUGGAUGAAAGAGGCCUUUGCAUCAGAGGUCCCACAGGGUCCAUGUUUUCUCUGUUGUCUGCACAGCACUGCUACUGAAGGCUACCAUUAGAAGUGACAGUUUUACCUAUGAAGGAUGAGGAUGGUAGCCUUAAAGAAUGAACCUGAGACUCAGAAAAAACCUACCUGUGGAGGAUAAAUGGUUACAGCCUCUCAGCAGGUUACAGGCUGAAGCUGUCUGAGGGCAGCAGGACUUUCACUUACUCAUGUCCCAAUUGACAUAGGAUCCUAGGAUUGUGAAACCUGGAACCCAGUGAGUGCUAACCCAAGUGACCCAUCCAACCUGGACAUUACCUGUGAGUAACUUCUGUCCCAUUAUUUCUACCACUGUCUAAAUACAGAAGGCUGCAGCCAGGACAUUUGGCCCCCAUAGGAAA
rnacentral:lncRNA from 1 species